UGCGGUCGAGAAAAUGCUAACAGGACCAGAGGAAGUGAAUGCCGUGGUGGAAACAGUGGAGGGACCUACGGAGCCUAGAGCCCAGGGCCCAGGAGGGCAUCCUGGAGGAUGAGCCAUGAGAGAUUCAUGAAAACAUGAGUCCUAGAGCUGCAGUGGGGAGAGAAGCUGGGGAAGGUGCAGCAGCAGAGCAAAGGAACGUGGACAGAGGUGCUGAGGCGUAUGGGACCUUCGUCUUUCUGGGCGCCCUGGGUUUGGGGGAGGGAGGGGAGUAGAGGCAACUAGCCCCCAGGGCUGUGUCAUGACCUUCCAGGGCAUGCUUUCCUUGGGGGUGUGUAGGGAGCAGGUCUUUUCCUAUAAAAAUAUUACAAAUUAUGUUUUAUGACUAUGUUGGAAUAAAGAAUAUAAUCUUUGACCCUAA